CGGUGGUAAUGGCGUAAAGGUAACACUCCUUCCCAUACCGAACAGGUAAGUUAAGCUUUACAGCGCUGAUGGUACUGCAGGGGAAGCCCUGUGGAAGAGUAAGACACUGCCGGGUA
rnacentral:rRNA from 1 species